rnacentral:rRNA from 1 species
UAAAGCCCUUUCAGUGGGAAAGAUGAUGACGGUACCCACAGAAGAAGCCCCGGCUAACUCCGUGCCAGCAGCCGCGGUAAUACGGAGGGGGCGAGCGUUGUUCGGAAUUACUGGGCGUAAAGCGCGCGCAGGCGGUUUUGCAAGUCAGGAGUGAAAGGCCAGGGCUCAACCCUGGGACUGCUCUUGAAACUGCGAGACUGGAGUUGGGUAGAGGGUGACGGAAUUCCCCGUGUAGAGGUGAAAUUCGUAGAUAUGGGGAGGAAGACC